CGUGUAGGCGGUGCGGUAAGUUGGGCGUGAAAUCCCCGAGCUUAACUCGGGUGGACCGUUCAAGACUGCCGUGCUAGGGUGCGGGAGAGGGAAGUGGAAUUUCCGGUGUAGCGGUGAAAUGCGUAGAUAUCGGGAGGAACACCUGCGGCGAAGGCGGCUUCCUGGACCGUAACCGACGCUGAGGCGCGAAAGCUAGGGGAGCAAACAGGAUUAGAUACCCUGGUAGUCCUAGCCCUAAACGAUGAGCACUGGGUGUGGCCCCUCACGGGGCCGUGCCGAAGCUAACGCAUUAAGUGCUCCGCCUGGGGAGUACGGUCGCAAGGCUGAA
rnacentral:rRNA from 1 species